rnacentral:rRNA from 1 species
UAGGGAAUAUUGGUAAUGGGCGAAAGCCUGAACCAGCAACGCCGCGCGUGCGAUGAAGGCCUUCGGGUCGUAAAGCACUUUUUAAGGGAAUGAGAAAGGACAGUACCCUUAGAAUAAGUCUCGGCUAACUACGUGCCAGCAGCCGCGGUAAAACGUAGGAGACGAGCGUUAUUCGGAUUUACUGGGCGUAAAGCGCAUGCAGGUGGUUUGGUAAGUUGGAUGUGAAAGCUCCUGGCUUAACUGGGAGAGGUCGUUCAAAACUGCCAGACUUGAGAAUGGGAGAGGGAGGUGGAAUUCCGGGUGUAGUGGUGAAAUGCGUAGUUAUCCGGAGGAACACCAGUGGCGAAAGCGACCUCCUGGCCUGUUUCUGACACUCAGAUGCGAAAGCUAGGGUAGCAAACGG